GUCGAUGCACAGUCAGCGCAGCGUCGGGAUUCUGGUGUGCGUCGCCUUCGAGGUAUACUUUCGAGUGUACAAGUCUCGGAACGACUAGCGUGUUUUGAUAUCUCGCGGGGUACACGCGAGAGAGCUGCGUCAUUCCUCUCAUAACAUGUGUGCAUAAACAAGUGGAAUGAUCAACAGGGUGGCAAGGGAUAGAUCGGUGGAAGUGGUUUGAGAACGAUAGGGGUAGAUGGGUGGAGUGCAAAGAAGAGCCAGGAAUAAUGGUGAACAUGACCCUGACAUUUAAGAAGAAACAGAUUCUUCGCGCUGAAUUAAAAACAGACUCUCGAGAAUAAACUUGUCAUGCUCCUCGAGCUCUAUAAUUAAAGUUAGGUAUGUCUUAUAACGAGGAGAAAGUCAACUGGAUAUCAAGGAAAGUCAACAGUAUAAAUGCCAUAAGAAACGCCUCAUUAUAUUCUUAAGGAGGAAUAUACUGAAGUUACGAACGAAACAUUAAGUAAUGAUAAUGUAUCGUUUCCGUAUGUAAAUAAUACUUGAUGAGUUCUAUAAGUACAAUGAUCGAAAGAAAAGCCAAUUCCGUGAGCAACAAUCAGCUCGAACUAAUUACUCCGAUGGGAAUCUAUGAGGAUAGUUGGAAAGGAACGGCUCGUCUCCUAAUCACGCAACCAGUCGAAGCAUUAACUGGUUCCGAGGUAACCUUGAAGAUGAGGGCAGCGGGACCGCGGUUAACGGUUUCGCUUCGUUAAGCCGGUAGGAAGUGUAUCGCUUAGGAGGCGAGUAUUACAAUUUAUAACGAUGAACCCGUGUGAUCAGCGUCGAUUAAUUGCCGGCUCGAUGCGAUCUCGAUAAAGCGUCGUGUACACCUACCGACACGUAUAGAGACGUGGCUCGAUUUCUCGCUACGAUCGAACCUGCUCGCUCGAGGGCAAACGAUCGGUUCGUAAUUUUCGUGAAGACCGUUACCCACGCAUCUCGCCUCGGCUAUUUCCACACGUUUUGCCCAUGUUCACGACUACACGCGCCGUAAUAUUCGCGCCACUUAUAUUCGAGCAGCUAUGCGUUUACGGUCAAUGCUGAUGCAACGGGUGUACGAUAAGGAAGAAGGCACAACGAGAUUUUCUACCGACUGGACGGCGCCGUUGCUCUACGCGUUAUUCGUAGCCGUUUUCACGACGGAUUUAUCGCGUGCGGGAAAAAUAACUAGAAAAUUAAAUUCGUCGAUCAAGAAGAAAAUUGCUCUCGCCAGAGUGCUUAGUACCACUUAGUGAAAUGAGAACGGAGCGGUAGCUCUUUUGCGUCUACGUCGUAUAAAAUGCGUCUCGUACAGUUAUGACGUCGAUACGUUUUACAAUUAUGCCACGGAACUCGGAGCAAGUGUGCAGAAAUUCGGAAUGACGUGGACGUAAAACAGCAGAGGAAAUGAUAAUUCCCGUAGAGGGAGAAUUCUGUUUGCGAGAUAACUAGAGAAUUCGAUUGACGGGACAGCGGCGUCUGAAAAUCGGCGUCCCAGACCUCUCAUGGGACAUUCAUUUUGCAAGAGAAAGAUGAAAGCUGGUCCCGAACGGAGCACCGACGCGACACGAUCGCGCCGGUUUCUAUACCGUCUGCAUCGAUUAUCGUUUGACCGACUGAAGUACUAGGGCCGUCAGUUUAAUGAAUAACGACGUACCUAAUGACACACGACGUCACACCUCAACUCGAGCCGCAUAUACGUCAACCGGAAUCGAUUCCGUCGGAAAAUCUACGGCGGAUGUUUGACAAGGUCGGACGUUCGUUCGAGCGACGCCGCCGGAGCGAUUCCGGAUACCAAAGAGAGCUUCCUGCACUUUUUACUCCGGCCCAUCGUCAAAGAGAAAUGCGGUUAAUUGAUACCUCUUCUGUCAGCGGACAAAAAUAAAAUUCAAUGUUAAAAAAACCGUGACGAUUUCCAUGCUCUGUCGGGUCGACUUCAUUGGACCAUUAUAAUUUUCAGUCCAUUGAAAAGUCUUUUUGAUUUCAGCUACGUCGAAGUCUACCGGGAACUUUCGUGAAAAGUGUAGCAUAUAUGUAACUUACACACGUGGCUGAAGAUAGAUACUACAUACAUGUUCCAGCGGUCAAAUUCAUACACGUAUCGAACUCAGAAGCGGUUCGGACUUCAAUACCACGCGUUUCAAAGUUCCUUUUAACUGAUAUUUGUGGAAAUCCACCGAUCUGAACUACGGUUCAAUAAAUCUUUAACUAUAGUUGACCUAAUCCGAUAUUUCAUUCCUAUUUAAAUGCGAAUUGAAGUACUUAUUCAACGGCAGUUUACAUUCCAACGAACAGAAAAGAUUUCAAUUAUACUGAUAUGCAAUCUUAAUCAGCCAAUAUAACUGUUGAUCCGCUGCAUUUGAAAUCCAUCGACUAGUUAAUGAAUUCUCUUCGCCAAAGGAAAUGAUAAAUUCCUAACGCAAUUACAAGUUGAAAACAGCGAAGCAACGUCACAGCCGUUUACACGGCACAUUAUCUCGACGAGGUUCGUCCACGACAUAAUGCGACGCGGCGGCCACGAUUCCCUGUCGUAACACUAUUAACGCGUCACCCUGUAUCGAACGGAAUGGAUUCGUACGGACCUUUCGAUAAGUGCUGUGUCCCGUGCUGUCUAGUGCAGCAACACCUACACCCGUUCCGCAUUACUUAUCAAGCCGUGGUCCCCGGUGUCUAUCGAGAAUAGAAGCGGGAACAUGUGCAGGAAGCUGAAAUGUCCGAUGCACCUGACAGGUGCUCACGUAUUCACGGCCCCGACAGCCCUUCACUCUCAGCGCAUCAAUCUCUCCGCUAGUCGUGCCAAGAUACGAGACCGUCGCGCCGGUCACUAGCUACCUCGAAGAUUAAAAGUCCUCGACAAAAACUUUCACAACUUUGAUUGUACAUGCGUGUUUCAAUCAUAGUUGCUGUACGUUUACAUUUUCAGUUCAUGUCAUGUACAAAUUUCAAUUAGAUAUAUUGAAGUGCAACGAGGAACAAAUAUAGAAUUACCAAAAGGA